rnacentral:rRNA from 1 species
AUUGAACGCUGGCGGCAGGCUUAACACCUUCUAGUCGAACGAGUGGCGGACGGGUGAGUAAUGUCUGGGAUACUGCCUGAUGGAGGGGGAUAACUACUGGAAACGGUAGAUAAUACCGCAUACCAUCAGAUGUGCCCAGAUUGGAUUAGCUAGUAGGUGGGGUAACGUCUCACCUAGUAGACACUCCCUAGCUGGGCUGAGAGGAUGACCAGCCACACUGGAACUGAGACACGGUCCAGCUUCCUACGGGAGGCAGCAGUGGGGAAUAUUGCACAAUGGGCGCAAGCCUGAUGCAGCCAUGCCGCGUGUAUGAAGAAGGCCUUCGGGUUGUAAAGUACUUGCAGCGGGGAGGCGUUACCCGCAGAAGAAGCACCGGCUAACUCAGUGCCAGCAGCCGCGGUAAUAC